CCUACGGGAGGCAGCAGUGGGGAAUUUUGGACAAUGGGCGCAAGCCUGAUCCAGCAAUGCCGCGUGCAGGAAGAAGGCCUUCGGGUUGUAAACUGCUUUUGUACGGAGCGAAAAGGUCUUCCCUAAUACGGGAGGCUGAUGACGGUACCGUAAGAAUAAGCACCGGCUAACUACGUGCCAGCAGCCGCGGUAAU
rnacentral:rRNA from 1 species